CUCGCCGGUUGCAGCGAAGCGAAAAAUUGUCAACUUUACCGAUAUAAGACAUGUCUCAGCGAUAGUAUAGUCUUUCAGCGUGUGAAUUGAAGCUGUCAACAACAUGAAUAUAUUUCUAGGAGGAUUUUAUGUAUUGUGUAUAUUAUGUGCCAUUUUAUUUUUUUAUACUAGAUCGAAAACUCAAGCGGUCACUGAUGCAGGAUUUCAGCAGUUUCAGAGGACCUACAUGAUUGUUUAUCUAUUAGCCAUGGCGGGAGACUGGUUGCAAGGUCCACAUGUGUAUGCCCUAUAUGCCAGCUAUGGUAUGACCACUCACCAGAUUGAGAUCCUCUUUGUGGCUGGAUUUGGCUCUAGUAUGAUAGUGGGUACCGUAGUAGGAUCUUUUGCUGAUAAAUAUGGCCGGAGAAAUAACUGCAUACUGUAUGGAAUCCUGUAUGGGGCAGCAUGUAUUACCAAACAUUUCAACAAUUUCUGGGUGCUUAUGAUAGGACGACUUCUAGGCGGAACAGCGACAUCAAUUUUAUACAGCGCUUUUGAAUCUUGGCUUGUCUUUGAACACAAUAAGAGAGGCUAUGAUUCUGAACUUCUGGGAAACAUCUUCAGUCACGCCAUUCUGGGAAACUCACUGGUAGCCAUAACAGCUGGUAUUGUAGCUCAGUACUUUGCUGAUAUGUUUGGAUUUGUAGCACCAUUUGAUGUUUCACUGACUGUGCUGAUGCUAAUGUGUGGUCUUGUUGUCUGUACAUGGCCUGAAAACUAUGGUGACAAAACUAUCCAUAUUGGACAAUCCAUGCAAAAUGCAGUUCAGGCUAUUAAAUCUGAUUACAAAGUUUUAUGUCUGGGCCUGAUCCAGUCCCUGUUUGAAGGUUCUAUGUAUGUGUUUGUGUUAGAGUGGACUCCUGCACUGACCCCGCCAACCCCAAUAAGCCCACCACAUACAGCACGUGACCUGCUGGACACAGAAGAACAUACACCUACUAUACCUCAUGGCCACAUAUUCGCUGGUUUUAUGGUAUCAAUUAUGAUAGGGUCAUCACUUUUCAAGUUGUUGUCGAAAUGUACUACUCCUGAAUCUUUUAUGAGACCAGUGUUAUUUGUAUCAGCAUUAACAUUAGCCACACCUAUCUUAUUUCCUGGUAAUCAGCUGAUCAUUUUCAUUGCAUUUUUAGUCUUUGAAGUGUGUGUAGGUUUGUUUUGGCCAUCUAUGAGUACCAUGCGGGGAAAGUAUGUACCUGAAGAAACACGUGCAACUGUGAUGAACUUCUUUAGAAUUCCAUUAAAUUUCAUUGUAGUGCUCAUACUUCUACAGAAUCUCAAGAUGUCAGUUAUAUUCUCGUGCUGUGUUGUUUUUCUGAUACUAGCAACAGUAUUUCAACACUGGCUCUACCAAUCUGUUAGCAGAUAAAAUAGUCUGGUUACAUAAGUAACACAGUUCAAGGUUAUUACAUGCAUCUAGCAAGGCCUUACCAUCAGACAUAAUUUGUUAAAAGGUCAUGGUUAUCAAGGACAAGAAAAGCUGAGAUAUUUAAGAUGGAGCCUGAUAAAGAACAGGUCGUGUAGAAUUGAGACACUGUAAUCAUAGGUGGCUUUAUUGUAUUUUAGGUAUUUUGUGAUGGUAUUUUGAAUUUUAAUUAAAUUUUCACUCUAGUAUU
rnacentral:misc_RNA from 1 species